rnacentral:lncRNA from 1 species
CGCGAAACGGUACAUAAAAUAUCGCGACUUUUGCGAAAAUACCGUUUUGCCACUACCGACCUCUCCUCGAUCAACGCGCGAUCUCCGCAGAUCCGUCUGUCAGAUUUGCGAACGGAUUGCACCAGUGCGAUCAGCACGACGGAGACAACAAAGCUGCGAUUUCGUUUCGUCUUGAUCGACCACGGAUUCACGACAAAAUCCAACCUUCUUCGAAUAGAAGGAAAUACACACAUAAAUACAUAUAAAACAUGUAUUUUUGGAUUUUAUAGAAAUACGUGCGUCAAACUCAAAAUCCGUCAGCGUCAUUGGUUCCAGAACAGCUGACCCGGUCGAAACGAGCUAUUGGACUACUAUGAACAGAGUCCGGUACAAUCCAGAAGCCAACUUCUC